CUCCAAAAAGAAAAAAGAACAAUUUAAAUAUGUGGGGUUCUAAACAUUCAAGAUUUCCAACUUAAAUAAAAUUUCGAUAGAUGGCUCAAUCGUCCGGAUUCAGUUUCUAUUACUGCAAAGUUGUUUUCCUGAGCAACUUAUGAAUUUAAGUGAUUUUUCUUAUAAAGAUGGUGUCCAGGACGCAUCUACUACUUGGAGUAAUCAACUGAAUACCAGUACACACCUAUUAAAGAUGCUGGAUACGAGAAGAUGAACUGUGUUGUAGGACGUGAUGACUCUAAAGGAAGUGAAUAAUAGGAUUACAGUCAACAAAAACGACGACAACUAGGUGACGCGCAUUCAAAUUGAUAACUGGCACUCUGGCUGAUACACAAGGGAGGUUUUUGUAACUGAUCCACAUUUUUCUGUUUGUUAGUUUUCUUUUUGUUAUCAGUUACUUGAGCUCAAUUUGAAGUGCAUGAGAUCACAAUGUGAAAUUUGCUUCUGCAAUCUGAAUGUCAAAAUUUGCUUCAUUGUUUGUGCAAUUAUAUUUCAUUAAUAGAUUCAGUGAUUCAGAAACUGGUAGUUCAUUUCAAAUAUGUUUGAUAAAGAUUAGAACUAUUUAACAACAAUAACCUCUGUAUUACAUUUCUCGCAGAACAUCCAUCUUUUCUUUCAUUGUUUGAUUAUUAUCAAUUUCUUAAUCCCUGAUCAAUCCAAUAACCUAAGAUAUUUCUCUUUUAGUUUUUUAAUUGUAUUCUUAGGUUUUCCCAUUAUUCAACCUAUUGGAGCCAUCAUUUUAGUGAUCAACCUGGUGCUGUUUAAUGUAAAAAUAAUUUCCCAAGCUAAUCUGGAUGAUUUUAGCUUGUGUCUACAUUGGUCAAUUCAACUAAAAAGACACCCUCCUUAAAAUUUAAAAGAAGAGACCUUCCUUUAAAUCUUAUUUAGAGCGUGCUAAAGAUUUUUCAGAGUACUCAAUGAUAUGCGCAGAUGCCGUCUAAGAG